rnacentral:sRNA from 1 species
CCCUAGCCCCGAUUGCAGCGGUUACCCCACAACACGCGCUGGGAAAAGCCUUGGCGUGAGGAGUAAUAGCGGAAAGCGGGAAACAGC